CCUACGGGGGGCAGCAGUAGGGAAUAUUGCUCAAUGGGCGAAACCCUGAAGCAGCAACGCCGCGUGGAGGAAGACGGUUUUCGGAGUUUAAACUCCUUUUGUUAGAGAAGAAAAUGACGGUAUCGAACGAAUAAGCACCGGCUAACUCCGUGCCAGCAGCCGCGGUAAUAAGGCGGGUGCAAGCGUUACUCGGAAUCACUGGGCGUUAAGGGGGCGUAGGCGGGAUAGCAAGUCAGAGGUGAAAUCCUAUGGCUUAAACCUAGAACUGCAGUUGAAACUGUUAUUCUAGAGUAUGGGAGAGGUAGGUGGAAUGCUUGGUGUAGGGGUGAAAUGCGUAGAGAUCACGAAGAAUACUCAUUGCGAAGGCGGCCUGCUAGAACAUAACUGACGCUGAUGCGCGAAAGCGUGGGGAGCAAACAGGAUUAGAUACCCUAGUAGUC
rnacentral:rRNA from 1 species